rnacentral:rRNA from 1 species
UACGAAGGGGGCUAGCGUUGCUCGGAAUCACUGGGCGUAAAGGGUGCGUAGGCGGGUCUUUAAGUCAGGGGUGAAAUCCUGGAGCUCAACUCCAGAACUGCCUUUGAUACUGAAGAUCUUGAGUUCGGGAGAGGUGAGUGGAACUGCGAGUGUAGAGGUGAAAUUCGUAGAUAUUCACAAGAACACCAGUGGCGAAGGCGGCUCACUGGCCCGAUACUGACGCUGAGGCACGAAAGCGUGGGGAGCAAACAGG